CGGGUGACAGGGAGACAGGUGGUGCAUGGUCGUCGUCAGCUCGUGUCGUGAGAUGUUGGGUUAAGUCCCGCAACGAGCGCAACCCCUACGUUUAGUUGCUAACGCGUGAAGGCGAGCACUCUAGACGAACUGCCGUUGACAAAACGGAGGAAGGUGGGAUGACGUCAAAUCAUCAUGCCCCUUAUGUUCUGGGCUACACACGUGCUACAAUGGCCGGUACAGACGGACGCAAAGCCGCGAGGUGGAGCAAAUCCUAAAAAGCCGGUCUCAGUUCGGAUUGCAGGCUGCAAUUCGCCUGCAUGAAGUCGGAAUCGCUAGUAAUCGCAGGUCAGCAUACUGCGGUCGAAUACGUUCCCGGGCCUU
rnacentral:rRNA from 1 species